UGCUCGGCGGAGACCGAGGGGAGAAGCUGCAUAAUAUUGUUGUUGGAGAGCUUUGUUCAAAGUCAAGUGGACUAUAAGAAGAUAUCAAGAUUUACAAGUUUCAUGCAGACAAAGCUGAUGGAUCAUUCUGACUCCACCACAACAAGACUUCAACUUGAAAAAGUUUAUUAGGGAAUGCCAGUUGUGUUGUUCGACAGGGACGAAAUACAACUUUCACACGAUGGGUAAGUACCUUGAAACAUUUCAUCUAGGGAUAUGUGAGUCUGUUGGCCUUUUGAGAAAGAACUGGGAAAUGUCUAUAACCUACUCCCCUAAAGAUAAUCUGUGGUGAAUUUCCAAAUUCAUCGACGGAAGAGAAAGGUAAGUCACGAGUCUCGUCCUUCGCGGCUCAGUCCACCAUUUUGAUGUGACAGUCUCUUUGCUGCGGAAGUUUACAAAUCAUGACGACUCCGCACGUUCUUCUUUCGGCCACUCCGACGAAGCGGCUGUAACUUUCACAACAUAGACAUCACGCAAGUAUAACUUAAUGAACAGUCUUAACAUAUGAACAAGUGUCACCUCCAUGCUUCUAAGGGGAGGGUGUCAUAGGUCAUUCCUCAAAGGAGUGGCCCAACAUUAGGAAAGACUAAGAAAAUGCAAGACAACAUUUUUCGGAAACAGGGUAUCUGUAGAAGCUCGAGGUCCUUCCUCUUUUAUAACAACGAAUACCGUUAAUAAACAAACUCAUGAAUAACAACAUUUAACUCUCAAACAGUUCACAUCUGUUAAAUCCUUGACAAGCGUUUAUUUGUUGCCCGUGCGAAUGAAGAGUUCAAUUUGCAAAGAAACUGUUGUGUCACGUCGAUUAGGAAGUGAAACAAAAAUUGGUCUUACCGAGAUGGCAAGGGUCAAACGAUUAAUAACAAAGCUGGCGUUUCAAGCAUUGGCCCUUCCUCCGAGCGACAGAAAGGACAAACACCCAAAACGUCAGUUUUCUAACCUUGUGGUGGUGACGUUACAUUUCCGUAUUUCCUGCUUACGCCAGUGUAGAAAGCAUGGCACAUUCCCAUUUGCCGCAACGGUUGAGAGGCUCACAGCUAAUACAAAAGUCAUAAGGACUUAAAAAGCCCUAAGCGAGCUGAACGCCAUAGGCAAGUCAGAGGAAAGCGAAGGGAAUUACCUUUUUACUGUUAGAAUGAUCAUUUUUAAGUAAGCAAGUUAAGAAAAGCACAAUAACUGAACAAGGUUCUUUGGAACAUUUCCCACUUUAUUACCAUGAUUAUUCCCACAUUAAGUACCACAGCUAAAUUCUAUUGCCACUACGAAACUUAUGCUUAGCAAUGGAACUUUAAAAAGCUAUCUAACUUGGUGUCAUUUAAUUCCUCAAUUAACUCUGCUUGAGUAGAGAUCAUUUUGAGGUCAUUGCAGCCAUACCGGGGUAUCAAUUUGGGGGACUGAAAACAAUUAUCACGGAACUGAAUUCUAUUUUUUAUGCAAAUAAUUCCUUUUGUUCCAUAAAAUCAAAAUGGCCGCUCAUCAGGUGAGUGAAAAUCAUCUUAAACAAUCCAGAAAAGCGGAAUUUUUGCGAAAAAAUAUUUGUCACGUUUUAAUUCUCGAAAUUUCAUUAAAGCAGCGCAUGCAAACAAUUGAAAAAUUCGCUCAAGUAGCAUAACAUAACUGCGAAGGUCAUUAACUUUAUGUUGAACAUUGAAAUUACAUCUUGUUACAUCACAGAAUAUUUAAAUUUUCUGGAUAAAGCAAUAACCACCUUAUCCCGUCCCAAUUCGUUUCAGACCCCAGAAAUUAUCAAUAUACUACUACGCCAAAACACACAGCAUUUUACGACUACACACUGCUUCCAAGGAAGAAAAGUAUAAUAAGGGAAUCUUUGUUCAUAAAUUCCCCUUUCAUUAGCAUUAAAGCAACGUUUCCUAUUCAACUCUACAAUAAAUCAGCAUCCAAAUGUUGACAGCGUAUUUGUACAAGCGGCUAACUCCGUAAUUUUUAACUUUAUUUGUCAGGUAGUGUCAGCGUCAUAGAAUACUUCCGAGUUCCCAUCAUUCUCUCUUUCAAAAGGAGUCCAAGUGCUCAAUUUUUGUUAUGGUAAUUAGUUCUGACUUCAAUCUGACUGAAGACUGAUAUUCAAAACAAAGACUUCGCACGGAGACUCACCUUGAAAUAGAGGCUGAAGUGAACUCGGAAUUUGCCUGUUGCUAAUUUUUUUUACCCUGCACCUAUCGCAGCAGCUGUGACAUACAUACAAAAAAUAGACUCCUACGAUUAAUACGGUUUCAGCUUAGCUGCUUUGACAAAAUCAAAUUCGACUACAAAAACCACUAAGGGCAAAAUAUAUCUUUUUUACAAGGCGUUGGCCCCUCUAAAUUCAACAUUCAAUUUGAAACAUUCCUAUGCAAAAUUAUUCCUCCUUGCUGAAUUUGGAAUGAAAUUCUAGUACUUAAUACUCAGUUGCUUGGCAAACUUGUGGGUAUAAACUACACUUAAAGCAAAUGUGGAGUUAAAUUCUACUGUAUUACGAAAUUGCUUGGCAAAAAAAGUUACGCAAAAAUGUACAUGAACGGGUUUGCAACAAACUAAAAAAAA